GACACCACUCGCCCCUCCUCCUCCUCCUCCUCCUCCUCCUCUACCAAAGAGAAGAAGAGGCUGGGGGGGGGUUUGGGGGCGGACUCUGCGUGUUCCGGACGCGAGCUCCGAGUGCACCGAACCUCGUGAACGAGACCCCUCUGCUAGUACACUGCCCGUUACUGGCCCGAAGAGUUGUUGACGGCGUGUCUCUCUUUUUUGAGCGGCGCGACUCUCUACUCACCCUAAAAGCCGGUUUCCGUAAGCGCCGUGGAGGAGGGUAUUAUACUUUGAUGUAUAUAUAUAUGUCUUGGUCCGGUCUGGCCUUUUUCUGAUGAUGAAUGAUUGUUUGCUCGUUUAUUCGACAAACAAACAACAAUCAAUCAGAAAUACCACCAACCAACCAACUUUCG
rnacentral:misc_RNA from 1 species